GAUGAACGCUGGCGGCGUGCCUAAUACAUGCAAGUCGAGCGAACGGACGAGAAGCUUGCUUCUCUGAUGUUAGCGGCGGACGGGUGAGUAACACGUGGAUAACCUACCUAUAAGACUGGGAUAACUUCGGGAAACCGGAGCUAAUACCGGAUAAUAUUUUGAACCGCAUGGUUCAAAAGUGAAAGACGGUCUUGCUGUCACUUAUAGAUGGAUCCGCGCUGCAUUAGCUAGUUGGUAAGGUAACGGCUUACCAAGGCAACGAUGCAUAGCCGACCUGAGGGGGUGAUCGGUCACACUGGAACUGAGACACGGUCCAGACUCCUACGGGAGGCAGCAGUAGGGAAUCUUCCGCAAUGGGCGAAAGCCUGACGGAGCAACGCCGCGUGAGUGAUGAAGGUCUUCGGAUCGUAAAACUCUGUUAUUAGGGAAGAACAUAUGUGUAAGUAACUGUGCACAUCUUGACGGUACCUAAUCAGAAAGCCACGGCUAACUACGUG
rnacentral:rRNA from 1 species